CAGGACAGGUACAGCACAGGCAGCGACAGUGCGAGCUUUCCCCACACCACCCCGUCCAUGUGCCUCAACCCUGACCUGGAGGGACCACCUCUAGA
ensembl:misc_RNA